CUGCGGAGGAUCAUUAAAGUAAAUAUGUAUUCCUCGGAAUAUGCAUUUCAAACCCAUCUGUGUAUCUUACCUGUUGCUUCCGUGCUGCGUGGGCUUCGGCCCCCUCUUGCCGUACAUCAGUACGGUUCAGAGUGUCGGCACGGGAGGUAUACACCAAACUCUUGCAUUUUAUGUCAUCAGUCUGAACUGUUUAUAACAACAAGUUAAAACUUUCAACAACGGAUCUCUUGGUUCUCGCAUCGAUGAAGAACGCAGCGAAAUGCGAUAAGUAGUGUGAAUUGCAGAAUUCAGUGAAUCAUCGAAUCUUUGAACGCACAUUGCGCCUUCGUGUAUUCACGGAGGCAUGCCUGUCCGAGCGUCAUUAAAACCACUCAAGCUCUUUUGCUUGGUCAUGGAGGAAGAGUCCGCUUGCCGGCCUCCCCUCCGAAAUGCAAUGGCGGAAGGUCUCUGGUACCCAGCGUAGUAAUAACUGUUCGCUUUGUAUCUGGAGGCAUUCUUGCUGUCAAACCCCCAAUUUUUAUAGGUUGACCUCGGAUCAGGUAGGGAUACCCGCUGAACUUAAGCAUAUCAAUAAGCGGAGGAAAAGAAACCAACAGGGAUUGCCUUAGUAACUGCGAGUGAAGCGGCAAAAGCUCAAAUUUGAAAUCUGACGUCUUCGGCGUUCGAGUUGUAAUUUGGAGGGAUAUCUUCGGGGUUGGCGCCGUCCUAAGUUCCUUGGAACAGGACGUCAUAGAGGGUGAGAAUCCCGUGCCUGGAUGGCUGUCCAACUCCAUGUGAAGUGUCUCCGACGAGUCGAGUUGUUUGGGAAUGCAGCUCAAAAUGGGUGGUAAAUUUCAUCUAAAGCUAAAUAUUGGCGAGAGACCGAUAGCGCACAAGUAGAGUGAUCGAAAGAUGAAAAGCACUUUGAAAAGAGAGUUAAAAAGUACGUGAAAUUGUUGAAAGGGAAGCGCUUGCGACCAGACUCGAUCUUUGGUGAUCAGCCGGGCUUCGGUCCGGUGCCCUUACCAUUGAUUGGGCCAGCAUCGGUUCUGACGGCGGGAUAAAAGGAAGGGGAAUGUGGCUUCCUUCGGGGAGUGUUAUAGCCCCUUUCACAAUGCCGCCAGUCGGGACCGAGGACCGC
rnacentral:rRNA from 1 species